rnacentral:rRNA from 1 species
UACGGAGGGGGCGAGCGUUAUUCGGAAUCAUUGGGCGUAAAGGGCGCGUAGGCGGCCCCGUAAGUCUUGGGUGAAAGCCCUCGGCUCAACCGAGGAAUUGCCUUGGAUACUGCGGGGCUCGAGGCUGGAAGAGGGCAGUGGAAUUCCCGGUGUAGCGGUGAAAUGCGUAGAUAUCGAGAGGAACACCUGCGGCGAAGGCGGGUUGCUGGGCCGACACUGACGCUGAUGCGCGAAAGCCAGGGGAGCGAACGGG